GAUGAACGCUGGCGGCGUGCCUAAUACAUGCGAGUCGAGCGAACGGACGAGAAGCUUGCUUCUCUGAUGUUAGCGGCGGACGGGUUAGUAACACGUGGAUAACCUACCUAUAAGACUGGGAUAACUUCGGGAAACCGUAGCUAAUACCGGAUAAUAUUUUGAACCGCAUGGUUCAAAAGUGAAAGACGGUUUUGCUGUCACUUAUAGAUGGAUCCGCGCUGCAUUAGCUAGUUGGUAAGGUAACGGCUUACCAAGGCAACGAUGCAUAGCCGACCUGAGAGGGUGAUCGGCCACACUGGAACUGAGACACGGUCCAGACUCCUACGGGAGGCAGCAGUAGGGAAUCUUCCGCAAUGGGCGAAAGCCUGACGGAGCAACGCCGCGUGAGUGAUGAAGGUCUUCGGAUCGUAAAACUCUGUUAUUAGGGAAGAACAAAUGUGUAAGUAACUGUGCACAUCUUGACGGUACCUAAUCAGAAAGCCACGGCUAACUACGUG
rnacentral:rRNA from 1 species